GGUUCCUGUCCAACGUUAAUCGGGGCAGGGUGAGUCGACCCCUAAGGCGAGGCCGAAAGGCGUAGUCGAUGGGAAACAGGUUAAUAUUCCUGUACUUGGUGUUACUGCGAAGGGGGGACGGAGAAGGCUAUGUUGGCCGGGCGACGGUUGUCCCGGUUUAAGCGUGUAGGCUGGUUUUCCAGGCAAAUCCGGAAAACCAAGGCUGAGGCGUGAUGACGAGGCACUACGGUGCUGAAGUGACAAAUGCCCUGCUUCCAGGAAAAGCCUCUAAGCAUCAGGUAACAUCAAAUCGUACCCCAAACCGACACAGGUGGUCAGGUAGAGAAUACCAAGGCGCUUGAGAGAACUCGGGUGAAGGAACUAGGCAAAAUGGUGCCGUAACUUCGGGAGAAGGCACGCUGAUAUGUAGGUGAAGCGACUUGCUCGUGGAGCUGAAAUCAGUCGAAGAUACCAGCUGGCUGCAACUGUUUAUUAAAAACACAGCACUGUGCAAACACGAAAGUGGACGUAUACGGUGUGACGCCUGCCCGGUGCCGGAAGGUUAAUUGAUGGGGUUAGCGGUAACGCGAAGCUCUUGAUCGAAGCCCCGGUAAACGGCGGCCGUAACUAUAACGGUCCUAAGGUAGCGAAAUUCCUUGUCGGGUAAGUUCCGACCUGCACGAAUGGCGUAAUGAUGGCCAGGCUGUCUCCACCCGAGACUCAGUGAAAUUGAACUCGCUGUGAAGAUGCAGUGUACCCGCGGCAAGACGGAAAGACCCCGUGAACCUUUACUAUAGCUUGACACUGAACAUUGAGCCUUGAUGUGUAGGAUAGGUGGGAGGCUUUGAAGUGUGGACGCCAGUCUGCAUGGAGCCGACCUUGAAAUACCACCCUUUAAUGUUUGAUGUUCUAACGUUGGCCCCUAAUCGGGGUUGCGGACAGUGUCUGGUGGGUAGUUUGACUGGGGCGGUCUCCUCCUAAAGAGUAACGGAGGAGCACGAAGGUUGGCUAAUCCUGGUCGGACAUCAGGAGGUUAGUGCAAUGGCAUAAGCCAGCUUGACUGCGAGCGUGACGGCGCGAGCAGGUGCGAAAGCAGGUCAUAGUGAUCCGGUGGUUCUGAAUGGAAGGGCCAUCGCUCAACGGAUAAAAGGUACUCCGGGGAUAACAGGCUGAUACCGCCCAAGAGUUCAUAUCGACGGCGGUGUUUGGCACCUCGAUGUCGGCUCAUCACAUCCUGGGGCUGAAGUAGGUCCCAAGGGUAUGGCUGUUCGCCAUUUAAAGUGGUACGCGAGCUGGGUUUAGAACGUCGUGAGACAGUUCGGUCCCUAUCUGCCGUGGGCGCUGGAGAACUGAGGGGGGCUGCUCCUAGUACGAGAGGACCGGAGUGGACGCAUCACUGGUGUUCGGGUUGUCAUGCCAAUGGCACUGCCCGGUAGCUAAAUGCGGAAGAGAUAAGUGCUGAAAGCAUCUAAGCACGAAACUUGCCCCGAGAUGAGUUCUCCCUGAGACUUAGAGUCUCCUGAAGGAACGUUGAAGACGACGACGUUGAUAGGCCGGGUGUGUAAGCGCAGCGAUGCGUUGAGCUAACCGGUACUAAUGAACCGUGAGGCUUAACCUUACAACGCCGAAG
rnacentral:rRNA from 1 species